UUAUAAAUUUUAUAGUACUCAGACAGCAAUAUAAAGGAAUUAAGUGGUCCUCUGGCAGGCACUAACCAGCCAAAGCCAGUAGUUAUAAAACAGGCCUGCCAAAGCAACAAAGGUAUUAUAAACAAAGGGUGGGAGAUAUACCCUAAAAGGGCAUGUUCUCUGUAAUGAUCCUUCCGCAGGUUCACCUACGGAACGCAAACUCUACUAGUUUUUACAUAAGUAGGCCGGUCAUAUCUAAAUCCCAUGGCUACCGCUAAGCAGGUAGCGGCAUCAAAGACCACCUUUGUUUGAUCUGUGAACUGCAGUUAGCAGCUGCUUGUUACCUCUAGGUAUCCAAGCACAUUAAAGGUGUUGCCUAUAUAAUAGACUGGGGGUCAAGGCUUCAGUAUGGUGUGUAUGAAAAAA
rnacentral:misc_RNA from 1 species